rnacentral:rRNA from 1 species
AAGGGCACCACAAGAACGCGUGGAGCAUGUGGCUUAAUUUGACUCAACGCGGGAAAUCUUACCGGGUCCGGACACACUGAGGAUUGACAGACAAAUACACAUACUACGGUGUGUGCAUGAAAUAUGCUAGUUCUUUCAUGAUUAUGUGAUAGGUGGUGCAUGGCCGUUCUUAGUUCGUGGAGUGAUCUGUCUGCUUAAUUGCGUUUCACUAAAGGCACAUACACAUAAUAUUGAUGCGUUGUGUGUAUAAUUUAUAAUUAUACGCAUACACACAUAUUAUAUUGUGCUUUGAAAGCAACGAACGUGACCGCAACCUCUUGUUGCCUGUAUAUAUGUGUAUUUUAUACACACCACAGGCUAUUAUAAACUAGAGGGACCGCUGUUACUUUCUUUUAAACC